UACGGAGGAUGCAAGCGUUAUCCGGAAUGAUUGGGCGUAAAGCGUCCGCAGGUGGCGAUGUAAGUCUGCUGUUAAAGAGUGAGGCUCAACCUCAUAAGAGCAGUGGAAACUACAUACGCUAGAGUGCGUUCGGGGCAGAGGGAAUUCCUGGUGUAGCGGUGAAAUGCGUAGAGAUCAGGAAGAACACCGGUGGCGAAGGCGCUCUGCUAGGCCGCAACUGACACUGAGGGACGAAAGCUAGGGUAGCGAACGGG
rnacentral:rRNA from 1 species